CCUACGGGUGGCAGCAGUGGGGAAUUUUGGACAAUGGGCGAAAGCCUGAUCCAGCCAUGCCGCGUGCAGGAUGAAGGCCUUCGGGUUGUAAACUGCUUUUGUACGGAACGAAAAGACUCCUUCUAAUAAAGGGGGUCCAUGACGGUACCGUAAGAAUAAGCACCGGCUAACUACGUGCCAGCAGCCGCGGUAAUACGUAGGGUGCAAGCGUUAAUCGGAAUUACUGGGCGUAAAGCGUGCGCAGGCGGUUAUAUAAGACAGAUGUGAAAUCCCCGGGCUCAACCUGGGAACUGCAUUUGUGACUGUAUAGCUAGAGUACGGCAGAGGGGGAUGGAAUUCCGCGUGUAGCAGUGAAAUGCGUAGAUAUGCGGAGGAACACCGAUGGCGAAGGCAAUCCCCUGGGCCUGUACUGACGCUCAUGCACGAAAGCGUGGGGAGCAAACAGGAUUAGAUACCCCUGUAG
rnacentral:rRNA from 1 species